rnacentral:rRNA from 1 species
AUGGAGUUGACACAAGACCCGGCCGACCAUGAGCCACCUCUCACUACUUUUGUACUACAUUUCAUCCUUGUUCUUGGCAAGCUUCUUUCUCUCCUUUUUCAUUUUGAUGGGAGUGAUGGACGGAAGAGAGCGUCCUUCAGUCCACUCACGGGCGGUGCUAGGAUCGAAUUAGCUGCCGACUCAUUCAUCCACUUGCCGAGCAAACGGGCUGGGACAAAAUACGGUGCUUUGCUUGCUUUUGCUGGUGUGGGGGAUCGAUCGAUCACAUCGCGCGUCUUUGGGGUCGUGCGAACAGUGAGACGUCUUUCGAUCUCCCUGUUUGCUUUGGAACUUGGCACGCAACCAGGGAAAUUCUCCCCCCUCGCAUGUUGCUCGUCCAUGGAAAUAUAUCUUGUUUGUGAUGAUGGCAAGCGUGCAUGGACUCUCCUUGAAUUGCUGGAUGUUCUUUGUGGGGCUGGGGGUUACUGCAAGCCGGCCCGCUCUGUCCGUCAAAGCUGUGGGAGGCACUGUCUAGCCUUUUCACUGCAGAUUAAUGUUCUGUUCUUGACUGCCUCCUUUUGUACUCCCAUGUCCUCCUUUUCAUCGCCAAUUAAUGGUUCCAGAUGUGGCGCCUACAAAUUCCGAGGGAGAGGGCUCCCUUUCCCGAUUUGCAAGUGCAACCUGUUCCGUUUCACUAGGAGGGAUGAUGCUUAUUAUAUGGACUCAGGCUGGGGUUCCUCUCUUCUUUUCUUGCAAGGGAUGGAUGGAGAGCAGCCAUUGGAGCCGCGCGCCAUCGCUGCCACCGGAGCCGCGCGCCCCCAGAGCCACCCUCGUCCGCUCCUCGCUGCCCCUGCUCCCUCGUCACCCCUGCCUCCGUCGCCGUCACCGGAGCCGCCACCGGAGCCGCGCGCCAUCGCCGCCACCGGAGCCGCGCGCCCCCGGAGCCACCCUCGUCCGCUCCUCGCCGCCCUUGCCUCCCUCGACGCCCCUGCCUCCCUCGCCGUCACCGGAGCCGCCGUAGACGCCACCGGAGCCACCCUCGACGCCCUCCGCGCCACCGUCUCCCCUGAGCACCUACCCGCAACCGUUCCCCCGAGCUACCCUCAACGCCUCCUCUCUGACAAACUUGUAUAUGCUUAA